rnacentral:rRNA from 1 species
CAGCCGCCGCGGUAAUACAGAGGGUGCGAGCGUUAAUCGGAUUUACUGGGCGUAAAGCGUGCGUAGGCGGCUUUUUAAGUCGGAUGUGAAAUCCCUGAGCUUAACUUAGGAAUUGCAUUCGAUACUGGUAAGCUAGAGUAUGGGAGAGGAUGGUAGAAUUCCAGGUGUAGCGGUGAAAUGCGUAGAGAUCUGGAGGAAUACCGAUGGCGAAGGCAGCCAUCUGGCCUAACACUGACGCUGAGGUACGAAAGCAUGGGGAGCAAACAGGAUUAGAUACCCCGGUAGUCCCUGUCUCUUAUAC